UAGUGUUGUGGGAAACGUGAAAGCCCUGAGCUGUGCGCCGUAAACCCCACCCUUCCAGGGACACGGAACUGUGGAAUGCGGAGUCCAUGUCGGAGGAGAAGUGGGGAGGGCUGGAUUCCUAAACGUUGCAUCUGCUUUGCAAAGGCCGUUAGUGUUGCGAGACAGCCAGACUCGGCCCGUGACUGCGCUGGGAGGAGCUCUGACCCCUCUCUGCCGCGUGAAGUAGCUCUUACACCGUUCGCCAGCAGUACACAAACAAAGCUCAACUUCUGGCCAGCUUCGGCAUCUUGUACGCUGUUGCCAGCAACUCAAAUUAAAUAUUAUUGAUGCUUUUGCCCCCCU